rnacentral:misc_RNA from 1 species
GAUGAAGAACGUAGCGAAAUGCGAUAAGUAAUGUGAAUUGCAGAAUUCAGUGAAUCAUCGAAUCUUUGAACGCACAUUGCGCCCACCAGUAUUCUGGCGGGCAUGCCUGUUCGAGCGUCAUUUCAACCCUCAAGCCCCCGGGCUUGGUGUUGGGGAUCGGCGUGCCCUCGCGGCGCGCCGUCCCCUAAAUCUAGUGGCGGUCUCGCUGUAGCUUCCUCUGCGUAGUAGCAACACUCGCACUGGAUCGCAGCGCGGCCACGCCGUUAAACCCCCCACUUCUGAAAGUUUGACCUCGGAUCAGGUAGGAAUACCCGCUGAACUUAAGCAUAUCAAUAAGCGGAGGA